UACGUAGGGUGCAAGCGUUACUCGGAAUCACUGGGCGUAAAGCGUGCGUAGGCGGUUCGUUAAGUCUGCUGUGAAAGCCCUGGGCUCAACCUGGGAACUGCAGUGGAAACUGGCGGACUAGAGUGUGAUAGAGGAUGGUGGAAUUCCCGGUGUAGCGGUGAAAUGCGUAGAGAUCGGGAGGAACACUAGUGGCGAAGGCGGCCAUCUGGAUCAACACUGACGCUGAGGCACGAAAGCGUGGGGAGCAAACAGG
rnacentral:rRNA from 1 species